CAGCCGUAAACUAUGCGCGUUAGGUGUAUCGGUGACCACGAGUUACCGAGGUGCCGAAGGGAAACCGUGAAACGUGCCGCCUGGGAAGUACGGUCGCAAGGCUGAAACUUAAAGGAAUUGGCGGGGGAGCACAACAACGGGUGGAGCCUGCGGUUUAAUUGGACUCAACGCCGGACAACUCACCGGGACGACAGCAAUAUGUAGGCCAGGCUGAAGACCUUGCCUGAAUCGCUGAGAGGUGGUGCAUGGCGU
rnacentral:rRNA from 1 species